AAAUUUAUAAUCUGGCACCUUCGGUGUCCGAGUUGUAAUCUCUAGAAGUGUUUUCCGCGUUGGACCGCACACAAGUCUGUUGGAAUACAGCGGCACAGUGGUGAUACCCCCGUACACGGUGCGGACGCCCAGCGCUUUGUGAUACACUUUCAAUGAGUCGAGUUGUUUGGGAAUGCAGCUCAAAUUGGGUGGUAAAUUCCAUCUAAAGCUAAAUAUUGGCGAGAGACCGAUAGCGAACAAGUACCGUGAGGGAAAGAUGAAAAGCACUUUGGAAAGAGAGUUAACAGUACGUGAAAUUGUUGGAAGGGAAACGCUUGAAGUCAGACUUGCUUGCCGGAGCUUGCUUCGGUUUGCAGGCCAGCAUCAGUUUUCCGGGGUGGAUAAUGGUGGUUUGAAGGUAGCAGCCUCGGCUGUGUUAUAGCUUUCCACUGGAUACAUCCUGGGGGACUGAGGAACGCAGCGUGCUUUUUGCGAAGGUUUCGACCUUUUCACGCUUAGGAUGCUGGUGUAAUGACUUUAAACGACCCGUCUUG
rnacentral:rRNA from 1 species